rnacentral:rRNA from 1 species
UACGAAGGGUGCUAGCGUUGUUCGGAAUCACUGGGCGUAAAGCGCGCGUAGGCGGCUAAUCAAGUCAGGGGUGAAAUCCCACAGCUCAACUGUGGAACUGCCUUUGAAACUGGUUAGCUAGAGUGUCGGAGGGGAUAGCGGAAUUGCUAAUGUAGAGGUGAAAUUCGUAGAUAUUAGCAGGAACACCGGUGGCGAAGGCGGCUAUCUGGACGACAACUGACGCUGAGGCGCGAAAGCGUGGGGACCAAACAGG